GUGCCAGCAGCCGCGGUAAUACAGAGGGGGCAAGCGUUAUUCGGAAUUAUUGGGCGUAAAGGGCGCGUAGGCGGCUUUUCAAGUGGCGGGUGAAAUCCCUCGGCUUAACCGAGGAACUGCCCGCCAAACUGAAUUGCUUGAGGCCGGGAGAGGCGAGUGGAAUCCCCAGUGUAGCGGUGAAAUGCGUAGAUAUUGGGGGGAACACCAGUGGCGAAGGCGGCUCGCUGGACCGGUUCUGACGCUGAGGCGCGAAAGCGUGGGGAGCAAACAGGAUUAGAAACCCCCGUAGUCC
rnacentral:rRNA from 1 species